GCCUUCGUGGUGUAGUGGUCAGCACACAAGGCGCGUAUUCCAGAGGUCCGUGGUUCGAGUCCCGGCGAAAGCG
rnacentral:tRNA from 1 species